GACAGAGGUCCCGAGCGUUAGGCGGAAUCACUGGGCUUAAAGCGUGUGUAGGCGGACCUCUAAGUACCUUGUGAAAUCCCACGGCUUAACCGUGGAACUGCUUGGUAUACUGGUUGUCUUGGGCCAUCUAGGGGCUACUGGAACAAACGGUGGAGCGGUGAAAUGCGUAGAUAUCGUUUGGAACGCCAAUGGUGAAAACAAGUAGCUGGGGAUGUGCCGACGCUGAGACACGAAAGCCAGGGGAGCGAACGGG
rnacentral:rRNA from 1 species